rnacentral:lncRNA from 1 species
GCUUCUAUGGGACGCGAGAGGAGCCAACGUACUGCCGUUUUUUUUUUUUCUUUCCGCUGCAUUACAAAAUAAGUUUGUUUUAAGUGGUCUCUCCAUAUCUUACUGUCAAGUUGCCUGUUGGUAACACUGGUCGAUUAGGCUGAGCGUUACCGGAGGACACAUUUUGGUCCCUUUGUUUUGAGCCGCUCCGAGUGGUUGUGAUUUGUCUAUGAUCGCAAACCCACUGCUUUGCAAUGUGUUUAAGCAGACUUUCCAGCCAGGUCAGAUCCUGGUUCUGAAUGCAACCGGUUCUGAAUGAACAUUUCGGUUUUACCCUAUUUUAUUCCCCGAGUCGCAGCUUCGCAGAAACUGGGAUCCCCGAGAGCAAAUACACAAGACAACGUCUCUCUCAGAAGAUAUCCCCGUAGCCAGCCCGGGCUUCCCUUCCGAUGGCCAACGCGGUAGAUACGGCGAUCAUUGUCGGGCUCAUGAAUUUCAUGAGGAUUUCAGAAAGUUGAUGAAGUUCCUUUUUAGAUUGCUAAUAAACGUUUGAGUUUCACCUUUAAA